rnacentral:rRNA from 1 species
UAAUCUAUUGGAAUGUUAGCAGUUACUUGGAUAACUGAGGUAAUUCUUGAGCUAAUACAUGCGAAAAAUCUCGACUCACGAAGAGAUGCUUUUAUUAGACCAAACCAAACAGCUUCGGCUGUACUACUGGUGACUCUGAAUAACUUUGGGCUGAUCGCAUUGCCUAGUGCAGGCGACAAUUCCUAUGAAGGUGUGCCCUAUCAACUGUCGACUGUGAUAUAGACGCUCACAGUGGUUUUGACGGGUAACGAGGAAUCUGGGUUCGAUUUCGGAGAGGGAGCCUUAAAAACGGCUACCACAUCCAAGGAAGGCAGCAGGCACGCAAAUUACCCAAUUAUCGAAGAUAGAGGUAGUGACGAAAAAUAACAAUACAAGACUCUUCCGAGGCCUUGUAAUUGGAAUGAGUACACUUUAAAACCGUUUCACGAGGAUCCAUUGGAGGGCAAGUCUGGUGCCAGCAGCCGCGGUAAUUCCAGCUCCAAUAGUGUAUAUUAAUGUUGUUGUGGUUAAAAAGCUCGUAGUUGGAUUUCGGCGGGUAUUGGCUGGUUCGAAUUGAUUCGAUACUGGCUUUUUUACCCGUGUGUUUUGCC